rnacentral:rRNA from 1 species
GACAGAGGAUGCAAGCGUUAUCCGGAAUGAUUGGGCGUAAAGCGUCUGUAGGUGGCUUUUUAAGUCUGCCGUCAAAUCCCAGGGCUUAACCCUGGACAGGCGGUGGAAACUACCAAGCUGGAGUACGGUAGGGGCAGAGGGGAUUUCCGGUGGAGCGGUGAAAUGCGUAGAUAUCAAGAGGAACACCUGAGGUGAAGACGGGUUGCUGGGCUGACACUGACGCUGAAGCGCGAAAGCUAGGGUAGCAAACGGG